rnacentral:rRNA from 1 species
GACGAACGCUGGCGGCGUGCCUAAUACAUGCAAGUCGAGCGGACUUUCAAGAAGCUUGCUUUUUGAAAGUUAGCGGCGGACGGGUGAGUAACACGUGGGCAACCUGCCUGCAAGACGGGGAUAACUCCGGGAAACCGGGGCUAAUACCGGAUAAUAUCUUCCUUCGCAUGAAGGAAUGUUGAAAGGCGGCGCAAGCUGCCGCUUGCAGAUGGGCCCGCGGCGCAUUAGCUAGUUGGUGAGGUAACGGCUCACCAAGGCGACGAUGCGUAGCCGACCUGAGAGGGUGAUCGGCCACACUGGGACUGAGACACGGCCCAGACUCCUACGGGAGGCAGCAGUAGGGAAUCUUCCGCAAUGGACGAAAGUCUGACGGAGCAACGCCGCGUGAGCGAAGAAGGUCUUCGGAUCGUAAAGCUCUGUUGUCAGGGAAGAACAAGUACCGUUCGAACAGGGCGGUACCUUGACGGUACCUGACCAGAAAGCCACGGCUAACUACGUG